UCACGCCGUCGCGGGUCUCCUCGCGCAAGCGCACGACCUCGCCAUCCCUGGGACGAUCUGGGCCGGCGCGCUUCUGGACGAUCUGGGGCGUCGAGCUUGGCCCUCGCCAUCCCUGGGAGGGCGUCGACGAGCUUGGUGAGCGCCAAGCCGUCAUCCUCGCGUCGACCUGCCCCUCCCGGUGCGCUUGGUAGCCCGACGACUCGAGCGUGGUGUCCACGUUGGCACGCGGUGGGCUCAAGCGGCCCUUCCUGCCGCCGUCGCCGGCAAGCUCAUCCGCGCGCUCAUGGCGCGGCAGCACGGCUCCGUCAAGCCCAAUGAGGCAUCCAUCCCCGAGGGCAGCGAGCCGAACCUGGGCGGAGCCGCCGCCAGGGGGCGUACCGGCGAGGGGCUGCGUCCACCUUGCCGUCGAGUGCCUCCUCCCCUCCGGCCGCCCCGAUUCCCUCUUCAUCCUCCAGCUCCAGCCCAACCCCGACACCCCGGACGUCAAGCGGGCCUUCCGUCACCUCGCCAACCUCCUGGCCCCUCGGCGUGAUCCCCAUCCCCGGCUGACACCGCCCUUCGCGCCGUUGAAGAGGCCAUCGCCCACCUCUUCGAGAGCGCCUCCACCAGCGCCGGUUUCGCUCCUGCUGCUCCCGGCGGCGUCUCCGUCCUAGAGAUGUGCUCUGGACGGUCUGCACCCACUGCUGCCAUGUGCACGAGUACGGGCGCAUGCUGGUGGGGCGUUUGCUUGGGUGCUCGAACCCCUGGUUCAUGUGCGUGUUCGUGGCUACCUAGCCCGUGCGGCUGCCCUCUCCCUGCUCGCCGGUCGCCGCCGCUCGGGUUGUUCGCAGGCUAAGCCACGGAUUGUGUAUGAAAUAUUCACAGCAAAGCAACGAUCAAACAGAGACCCAGUUACAACAGAGAUACGAAAAUUGAGUAGUCAAUAUAGCAGCUGCAGUGUGAACUUCUGUUUUCCCGUAGUAACUUCAGAAAAAAGUCUCUCUACCUGGGUUAAGAAAUUCAGAACUUUACAGUGAGCAGGAGAAUGUGGACCUUAUAAGGUCUAUACAUGCAAGAUUCAGGAAUUGGAAACGGAAGUAACACGGCAGAAGUUCUCCACUGGGCUCAAGGGGAUGAAUCGGUUAACUACAGAGAGCUUCAACAUGGUGGCAACCUGGCUGAGCUACCUUUUGUUGAUCCUUGCUGCUUGCUGAUAUUGUGGU